GUGUUAUAUGACAGGUGAGGUUAUCACUACUCUUGAUAAGGAUGGAAGAGGUCCUAGUGCCCUUUUUAAAACAUAUAUGGUUAAGGCAUUGCCACUCACUGUGCAGUUUCUAACUAUUUUUUUCU